rnacentral:rRNA from 1 species
UACGAAGGGGGCUAGCGUUGUUCGGAAUUACUGGGCGUAAAGCGUGCGCAGGCGGCUUCUCAAGUCAGGGGUGAAAUCCUGGAGCUCAACUCCAGAACUGCCUUUGAUACUGAAGAUCUUGAGUUCGGGAGAGGUGAGUGGAACUGCGAGUGUAGAGGUGAAAUUCGUAGAUAUUCGCAAGAACACCAGUGGCGAAGGCGGCUCACUGGCCCGAUACUGACGCUGAGGCACGAAAGCGUGGGAG